rnacentral:rRNA from 1 species
GACGAACGCUGGCGGCGUGCUUAACACAUGCAAGUCGAACGGAAAGGCCCUGCUUUUGUGGGGUGCUCGAGUGGCGAACGGGUGAGUAACACGUGAGUAACCUGCCCUUGACUUUGGGAUAACUUCAGGAAACUGGGGCUAAUACCGGAUAGGAGCUCCUGCUGCAUGGUGGGGGUUGGAAAGUUUCGGCGGUUGGGGAUGGACUCGCGGCUUAUCAGCUUGUUGGUGGGGUAGUGGCUUACCAAGGCUUUGACGGGUAGCCGGCCUGAGAGGGUGACCGGCCACAUUGGGACUGAGAUACGGCCCAGACUCCUACGGGAGGCAGCAGUGGGGAAUAUUGCACAAUGGGCGGAAGCCUGAUGCAGCAACGCUGCGUGCGGGAUGACGGCCUUCGGGUUGUAAACCGCUUUCGCCUGUGACGAAGCGUGAGUGACGGUAAUGGGUAAAGAAGCACCGGCUAACUACGU